GGCGGCGUGCCUAACACAUGCAAGUCGAACGAGAAAGUUGGCUUCGGCCGAUGGUAAAGUGGCGCACGGGUGAGUAACGCGUGGAUAAUCUGCCCUUUAGUUUGGAAUAACGUACCGAAAGGUGCGCUAAUACCGGAUAAUACUGAAUGACUACUGUCGUUUAGUCAAAGAAGGCUUCUGUUUACAUGCUUUUGCUGAAGGAUGAGUCCGCGUACCAUUAGCUAGUUGGUAGGGUAAUGGCCUACCAAGGCGACGAUGGUUAGCUGGUCUGAGAGGAUGAUCAGCCACACUGGAACUGAGACACGGUCCAGACUCCUACGGGAGGCAGCAGUGAGGAAUAUUGCGCAAUGGGGGCAACCCUGACGCAGCAACGCCGCGUGAGUGAGGAAGGUUUUCGGACCGUAAAGCUCUGUCGAGCGGGAAGAAAUGCAUGGUGGCUAAUAUCCAUCAUGCUUGACGGUACCGCUAAAGGAAGCACCGGCUAACUCCGUG
rnacentral:rRNA from 1 species